rnacentral:rRNA from 1 species
UACGUAGGGUGCGAGCGUUGUCCGGAAUUAUUGGGCGUAAAGGGCUCGUAGGCGGUCUGUCGCGUCGGGAGUGAAAACUCAGGGCUUAACCCUGAGCCUGCUUCCGAUACGGGCAGACUAGAGGUAUGCAGGGGAGAACGGAAUUCCUGGUGUAGCGGUGGAAUGCGCAGAUAUCGGGAGGAACACCAGUGGCGAAGGCGGCCUUCUGGGCCUAUCCUGACGCUGAGGAGCGAAAGCGUGGGGAGCAAACCGG